CGGCGGACGGGUGAGUAACACGUGGGUAACCUGCCUGUAAGACUGGGAUAACUCCGGGAAACCGGAGCUAAUACCGGAUAGUUCCUUGAACCGCAUGGUUCAAGGAUGAAAGACGGUUUCGGCUGUCACUUACAGAUGGACCCGCGGCGCAUUAGCUAGUUGGUGGGGUAAUGGCUCACCAAGGCGACGAUGCGUAGCCGACCUGAGAGGGUGAUCGGCCACACUGGGACUGAGACACGGCCCAGACUCCUACGGGAGGCAGCAGUAGGGAAUCUUCCGCAAUGGACGAAAGUCUGACGGAGCAACGCCGCGUGAGUGAUGAAGGUUUUCGGAUCGUAAAGCUCUGUUGUUAGGGAAGAACAAGUGCGAGAGUAACUGCUCGCACCUUGACGGUACCUAACCAGAAAGCCACGGCUAACUACGUGCCAGCAGCCGCGGUAAUACGUAGGUGGCAAGCGUUGUCCGGAAUUAUUGGGCGUAAAGGGCUCGCAGGCGGUUUCUUAAGUCUGAUGUGAAAGCCCCCGGCUCAACCGGGGAGGGUCAUUGGAAACUGGGAAACUUGAGUGCAGAAGAGGAGAGUGGAAUUCCACGUGUAGCGGUGAAAUGCGUAGAGAUGUGGAGGAACACCAGUGGCGAAGGCGACUCUCUGGUCUGUAACUGACGCUGAGGAGCGAAAGCGUGGGGAGCGAACAGGAUUAGAUACCCUGGUAGUCCACGCCGUAAACGAUGAGUGCUAAGUGUUAGGGGGUUUCCGCCCCUUAGUGCUGCAGCUAACGCAUUAAGCACUCCGCCUGGGGAGUACGGUCGCAAGACUGAAACUCAAAGGAAUUGACGGGGGCCCGCACAAGCGGUGGAGCAUGUGGUUUAAUUCGAAGCAACGCGAAGAACCUUACCAGGUCUUGACAUCCUCUGACAACCCUAGAGAUAGGGCUUUCCCUUCGGGGACAGAGUGACAGGUGGUGCAUGGUUGUCGUCAGCUCGUGUCGUGAGAUGUUGGGUUAAGUCCCGCAACGAGCGCAACCCUUGAUCUUAGUUGCCAGCAUUCAGUUGGGCACUCUAAGGUGACUGCCGGUGACAAACCGGAGGAAGGUGGGGAUGACGUCAAAUCAUCAUGCCCCUUAUGACCUGGGCUACACACGUGCUACAAUGGACAGAACAAAGGGCUGCAAGACCGCAAGGUUUAGCCAAUCCCAUAAAUCUGUUCUCAGUUCGGAUCGCAGUCUGCAACUCGACUGCGUGAAGCUGGAAUCGCU
rnacentral:rRNA from 1 species